AUCGACAUGAGCUCCUCUCGCUCGGGUUCGCUUUCUCGCUUAUAGUCUCCGGCUCGUAUCCUCGUGCACUCGGAUCUCAUCUCUUCUUUUCUGCCCUCGCCAUCCUGUCGGUCACGGGCAAAGCGCCGCCAAGGGGGAAACAAUCGCACCGCUUGAUUGAGCCAUGAAGGUGAGAUCAUCAGUGAAGAAGCUCUGUGAGUUUUGUAGGACAGUCAAACGUCGGGGAAGAAUUUAUGUGCUUUGUACUGCCAAUCCCAAGCAUAAACAGAGGCAAGGCAUGUCCACAUUUGCUUAUGAGGGUCCACUGCCUCCUGUAUCCUCGGAUGUUGCCAAUAAGCAAGAACCUCCAGCUACUAAUUACUGGCCUAUAGGACUGGCAUCUCUUCUUCAGAAACAGGAAAAAUAAGUUGACAUAUGUCAAGUAGGCUUGCGGAGGAGGUGCACCUUCUCUGCUUGAUUUCAUGUAUUCGGCUGCUUUUGGUGCUGCUCCUAUUCCUAGGAAUUAUUCAUGCUACUAUAAAUGUUGAAUGACUAACUUUGCCUCUUGAAAUUUAUUUUCUUACAUCCUUGCUAUGAUAUCCGAAGUUGUUGGGAAAUUUUUGGAA